GAGAUCUUGCACAAAGGAUAAAUCCUGGAGAAUGGACAGAGAAAACUGGGUACCAUUUUGAGUUGACCUUGUAUGUUGCACUUGAUGCUCCCUUCGACUACACCAUACCAUGGCAAGCUUUUUGCACACUCGACCAAUGAAUCCAUGGAUCUCCUAAAAGGUCAUCGGCAGCCUGUGAUGUGUCUGAGGAAGCACACGUUAGAGGAGAAGGAUGUAAUAGGUUGCCUUUCAUAGAAUUUCUGGUCAUAAACACAGAUGAUGGUUGCGUUUACAUUUGAUGGAUGAAAUAGUAGACAUUGUGACAAGAAGAUUAUUGGCUUUUAUUAGUAACACCUGUGCUUACCUUGCUACUUCCUGGAAAACUGGCUGCUGCAACAUGGGUCCAUAAUUAAAAUAGUAUGAACACACUAUACUGACUUUUGCACGUAGAAUCACUGCCAUCAACAGUAAGACUUAGCCAGGCAGUGCCUCCUAGUGGCUCCACAUUUCGUUCCACCACAUACGAAGUGAAAGUGGAUGGUCAUAUCAGGAUAAGUAAGACCCCCCUCAUAACAUACACAGCACCCUGGCCCCCCUAACCUGUUAUUACCAGUAAGAUCCCCCCCAUCAUACAGUACACUACCCCCCCACCCCUGCCACAACAGCUCUGCCCAUCCUCAGUAAGCCCCCCCGCCUUUCAUUCUUCGUAAAUUAGUCCCAUCGUCCACCACCCUACUCCCUUCUGUAUCGAAACCCCCAUGUUGUAUUCCCUUGAAUCUGAAACUAUUGUACAAAGUGCAAUUCACAAUAAACAUGAAAAUACCUGUUGUAACUCUGCCUUUGU